AGAGAUAUAAUAUACUUAGCUUCUAACUAAGUGGAGACUAUGAGUCAUAUCUCUA
rnacentral:tRNA from 1 species